GGGAAUGUGGCUUAGUGGUAGAGUACUUGCCUAGCAUGUAUGAAGCCCUAGGUUCGAUUCUUCAUUACCA
rnacentral:tRNA from 1 species